CUACUGGUAUCUUACCAAUGAUGGGAUUGAGUUUUUGAGGACUUACCUGAAUCUUCCAUCAGAAAUUGUUCCUGCUACCUUGAAGAAACAGGCAAAACCUGCUGGUGGUCGCCCAUUUGGAGGCCCACCUGGUGACCGUCCCCGGUAAUUUAGACUAUUCUGAAAAUUUGCUGAUUGGAGUGUUCUUCUCACCCUUUCAUUUUUUCUGAAUAUACUAAUUGAAAUGUGGUGUUUGUUUGGGUUUCUAGAGGUCCACCUCGCUUUGAAGGAGACCGUCCUAGAUUUGGUGACCGUGAUGGUUAUCGUGGGGGCCCUCGAGGGGGUGAAGGUGGUGAGAAGGGAGGAGCUCCAGCAGAUUACCAGCCUGCAUUUAGGGUAAUUUCAAUUUAAUACCAUUUACCCUAAAUACUAAUAUCCAUUGGGGACGACUACCAGAAUAGUUGUUUUUCUUUGUAAUUCCAUUUCAUGCUUGGAACUUGCAGGGCUCUGGCUCUGGUGGAAGGCCUGGCUUUGGAC
rnacentral:lncRNA from 1 species